UCACCUGAAACGAAAUCAGAACACACAACAAAACGCUUUAUAAAAAUGUCAAAUAUUUGGAUUAAGAAUGAACGCUUUAAACGUUGUCUCGAGAAUCGCGACGGGGUUGGAGGUUUGUAGUUUUUAAAUUUUGAUACUCCUUGAAAACGCGAAUCGAUUGAGACAAGUCUGGCCCGGAUCUUGCAAAUGACUCGUGAGUUAUGAUAGUUUUCUAAAGGAUAUUGCAGGACAUGGUAAUGCCGACCGACGCGAUCGAGUUAUAAGCACUUUUCUGGAUUUUGGUCUUCUAAUUUUUGACAAGUCCCAAAUUGAACCAAGGAACGGGCGACUACGACUAUGCAAAUGUCCUUUGCAACCUUCAUAGUCCUUGACGAUUGGAAUUUUAUGACACCAUUUUCGACUUAAGCCUUCAAAGGACUCGCGAGAGUGCAAUUUGCAAUUUUACUUAUAACAAAACAGUCCUUUUAGCUGAGCUUUCCGAAGGACAUUUCAGGACCUGAGUAUGUCAAUCGAUGCGCAUUAUGAAGAGGCUCAAUUAACCCAAAGAACGCUCAAAUUGGCUUUAAGAUAAUCGAGUUAUGAACAUAUUUAUAUUUUUCAGACUUGCAAUUUUUUCAAAGUCCCAAAUUGAACCAAGUGGCCAAAGAACUGGGCAAAAACUAUAAAAUCCUUGAUAUCUCAGCUCUCUGCAGGACUAUCGAGAUGUCCUUUGAACCAACAAUGAUCCUUGAUAAUUGGAAUUUUUUGACACUACAUCCGAUCUGAUCCUUCAAAGGACUCUCGAGAUAUUUGCCAUUUUUCCUUAAACAAAAAAGUCCUUGUAUCUUAGUUUCCCAAAGGACAUUCGAGGAUCUGGUAAUGUCAGCCGAAGCGGGUUAUCAAGGACUACAAUCUGUCAAAAGGAAAUCCUGAUUGUCCUUGAAAUGACCGAGUUAUAAGGACAUUUAUGUUUUUUCCGAAUUUUUUUGCCAUUUUUCUGACGCCCCCUUAUAAAAAUGGAGCAAUAUUUUUGGAAGCGUUUUGAAAAUCCUUGAAUGCAGUUCAAUAGUCCUGAUCGUCAAGGACGAGAAAAGCUCUAAAAUCCACAAAUCCUGCCGCAGGACGAAAGGACAUGGUUUACUAGGAUGUCCUUGAUGAUCUUCACAGAUUGGCAUCAAAAAAAGUUGGGGUCAUCUAGGAAUGCAGUUUACUAAAUUUAUCGAAAAGGACAUUAUUCUCCGCUUUGGUAAGGACAUUCCAGGAUCUGGUGACCUCCAUCGAUGCGGAUAAAAAAGGAGUUUCAUCUGGCCAAAGGACAUUCCGAUUAUCCUUAAAAUAGCCGAGUUAUAAGCAGUUUUCUGUUUUUUAGACUUGUAAUUUUUAGCUUAAGAGAAAAGUUUAUAUUGCAUACUUUGAGGGUUAAUUAUACGAAUUUUUUAAAAAAGCGUUGCAUACUUAUUGGGUGUAAACGGAUUUUCUGUUUUUUCAAAUUUCGUUGCAUACUUUUAGGCGUUUGAGCGUGUGGGCUAGAAAAAUUAAAUUCUAUUGCAUACUUCGGGGCGUUUGAGCGUGUGUGGUAAAAUAUAAUUUCUAUUGCAUACUUUAAGGCGUUUGAGCUUGUGCCGGACCACACAAGGCGAAACGCCUAAAUGUAUGCAACACAAAUUUAUUUUUCCACCCCACACGCUCAAACGCCUAAAAGUAUGCAACACAAAUUUUACGAGGAUCUUAAAUAAGCCCAAACGCCUCAAAGUAUGCAACGAAAUUUUAAAAACAGAAAAUCUUUUUACACCCAAUAAGUAUGCAACGCUUUUUUUUAGAUUCGUAUUAUUUACUCUCAAAGUAUGCAAUAUAAACUUUUCUCUUAAGCUAAAAAUUACAAGUCUAAAAAACAGAAAACUGCUUAUAACUCUGCUAUUUUAAGGAUAAUCGGAAUGUCCUUUGGCUUGACGGAAGUUCUCGUCCUUGCUGAUCGAUCGAUAUCACUUGGUUGUGGAAUGCCUUGGUAACCACAACUUUUUUUGAUGCCAACCAAUAGAAAUCGUCAUGGACAUCGUAGAAAAUAUGCAACAAGGACACGUUUUAGGACAGGACAUCGUUUUUCGGAUCCUCCAGGAUCAAAACUUUCAAUCUGAAGUUCAGGACUUUAAAUACGCUUCCAAAAAUAUUGCUUACACUAACUUUAGACCUUGGUAAUUUACCGAAUUAGAAUUAUGAUAUUUUUGGAACUACACAUAAUUUAAAAUAAAGAAUACGGAUUCAAGGACUGUCAGCUCGAAAAGUUAACUAUAA